rnacentral:tRNA from 1 species
GGUGGCUCAGUGGUAGAGCACUUGCCUUGCAUGCAUGAGGCUCUGGGUUCCUCAGCACCA